rnacentral:rRNA from 1 species
UACGUAGGGGGCAAGCGUUUGUCCGGAAUCAUUGGGCGUAAAGCGCGUGUAGGCGGCUCGGUAAGUCUGCUGUGAAAGUCCAGGGCUCAACCCUGGGAUGCCGGUGGAUACUGUCGAGCUCGAGUCCGGAAGAGGCGAGUGGAAUUCCUGGUGUAGCGGUGAAAUGCGCAGAUAUCAGGAGGAACACCGAUGGCGAAGGCAGCUCGCUGGGACGUGACUGACGCUGAGACGCGAAAGCGUGGGGAGCAAACAGGAU